UUUUCUUGAAAACCAACUAUGGCUUAUUGAUGAUACGCAGUAAUCAUUUAAUGAGUUGAACUGAUUUUUACUGUGCAUAAUUAUUGGGACAAGGAGGCCAAUUUUGGGAGAGGUUAAAAAGAAACUAUACUUUGGGUAAAUAUGAGCUUCAAAAUCUAAGUGCUUAGGCAGGAAAAAAAAAAAAAAACAAGCAUUUCUGAGACAGAUAAUAAGGAGGCAGUAUAAACCCCCAAACAUUGUGAUGUUCAUAUUGACCCUCAGAGAGGGGGCAAUUGAAUGAACAAGUAAGCUACUUGAUUCCAAAGGAAACUCAAACAUUUUUCUCUUGGUACCUCGACACUGAUUCUCCUUAAAGGGUAAAAAAAAAAACCAAAACAAAAAACAAACAAACAAACAAAAAAAAAACCCCAAAAAACACAUGGCAGGAUGUAUAUUCUGAGCUAGUAGCAUUGUUAUGAUCAAUAAUAACAAAAUAGGAGUGGUAAUAAUAAUGAUAUUCCAUUACAGACCAUGCUGAAUGCUACAUAUGAAAAUGUAAACCCAAUAUUGGAGGUGAGUUUACACAUUUCUGGAGAUCUGACUUACUUGGGCUGAUCAGAAGUCGGGUGCCACUUCCAAAUGCAAGGUUCUGAUAGCCUGUGUUCACACUCUGACAUAAUUCUAUGCAAAAUGGUUCCCUGUAACUAAGUCCUUGUCUGGCAUUCCUAUGUCCCACAAAGAUUAGUUACUAAGCAUGUUCCUGCAUCUGUGUGCAUGCACCAAAGUGGGAGGAGGCAUAUAAUCUUACUACUUAAACUUCAUUUGCCUAAGACCAUUGGAAGAUGACAAAAAAUAAGACAGAAUCCAAUAGGAGAUCUUGCUUUACAUGCGGUAGGUUAUAUGAGAAAUGUCAUGACAAAAAUGUCAUGAAAAUUCGGGUUGAAAAAGUCAUUCAUAUAAUUACAGAAUUUCAUUUCUAGCCAAGACUGAGGGUACUUUUAUCCAUUCACACUUACUAAGUGUUCAGGACAUGUUUCUUGCAUUAAUGAUGCUUAUGGAUAAUAAUGCAACACUGUCCUUGCCAACUUCUCUUCUAACUUAGAUAGACAAAACUAUGCCCAGCCCCUCAAAUAAAUCAAUGGAAAGAGAUGUCCCUCAACUGUAAUCCAAAUCAAGAUAUUUCAUAGAACUUACUUGCUUUAACAAAUAGUCUUGUUCCUGUCCCAAAUUUGAAGCCCACAUUAUUUCCCACAGUGAUUUGUGCUAUGACAAAAUGGGCCAUUUCCUUCUCCUUCCAUUUUUGUACCACAGCUUGGGGAGCAGGCCCAGGGUGCCUAUGGGAAGGUGCUAAUAAUAAGGAACACUUUCUUUUUUUAAAUUUCCCUAGUAAAACCCAUUUGUUUUUUUUCCUGUGUUGAACAUAUAUCACACCUCCUACCAGGUUGACCAAACACUAGUCACUAUUCUAUGAAAUCCAGGGACCAGAAUCCCCACGGUUUAGUCCCAGCCCUACUUCUCACUGACUUCAUGAUGUUGGACAAUUCAACCAACCUUCCUGAGUCUUAAUGUCCUUUUUAGAAAAAUAAAGAGGUCUGAAUUAGAGUCUAAGCUCCCUUUCAGAGCUGAAGUUCUGUGAUCCAGCAAUGUCCAAGGUGCCCUUAAUCUUGCAUUUUCUAUAACUUACACCUGUGUCGGGCACUUGCAGAUCAGCUACACUGUCACUGGUCUACCUGGGGAUAAUACAAGAUAUAGUGAGGCAAAGGAAGAAUUAGGACAAGGGAAUGGUUGCUGCCAGCUCCUCUGUCUUUAUGGGGGUAAAUGCUCCCAGGAGCCCUUGUACUUUUUGUCUCUUCAUGAAAAGGGGAAGAGAAUCCUUUGGACAUUUGGGGCAUUCAAGUCAAGAUCUCCCACCCAAAGCUCCAUCUGUAAGUCCUGGCAAUAUUUAAGAAUAGAAAAGAUAAAUUCCAUAUUUUUCCUUACUCAUGUGAUUGGCAUUGUCUCUUAUUUCUAACUAAGGCCUGGCGCAGGGUCUGUGACAGAGUGUAGUAGAAAGAGCAAAGCUUUGAGAUUAGGCAGACAGACCCUGGUUGAAUCUAAACUUUUCUACUCACUAACACUGGGUGGGAUCUUGGGCGAUUACUUUUCUGAGCCUCAUGUUCUGUGUCUGUAAAAUAGGGAUAUUGCCCUCUGCUCCAUAGAGUUAUUUGAGGAUAAACAAUGCCAUAUGUCACAUACCUAGCAUCACAUCCACACAUCCUAGGCACUGAGAAGGUAAUUACUAUUUCUAGGUUAAGUUGGAUUAUUGAUUAAUAAGAGUAUUUUUUUUCAAGGUUGUAGAAUUUGUUUAUGAAAUAACCAUAAGAGUCAGCACCCUUGAGUCAUAUAAACUCUAGGGUGGUAUAGGAGUGAGGUCCCAGAACCAUGGAUUUUGAAUGCUUUGCACCACUCUACUCACACUGGAGGAGUCUAAGGCACACCGAGGAGCAAUGACUUGCUCAAUGUCACACCACCAGCUGGAGCCAAGUUGAGAACUUUGACUGAAAUCAGAAGCCUUGGGCUCUUUUCUCUGCACUUCACUGAUUCUUCUUGAAUCACAUAUAGUGUAAAGGAACACAAUCUCUGGAGUAAAUUUGGUGUAGCUUAUUUGGGGCAUGGAUCAAGUGACCUUGAAUAUCCUCCCCCGGCUCACCCCGCCCCAGUUUAUCUCUGAAUCAAUGGAAGGAGAAAAGGUCCAUUAGAUCAUGGCCAUGCAAUUUUCUGCUCUUCUAGCUUUUCCUCUCAAUCAGGCUCCAUUUAGCUCACUUCUAGUGCUAAAAACUCUGAUAAUAGAGCUUCUGCCAGCCUCAUAUCUCAGGGAGAGUCUUAAUGGUUUGCUAAAUCCCACCCCAGAGAAAAUAUACUUGUAUAGUCUUGGAAUACUUUCACUAAUGUAUCUGGGUGCCAUAAUUCUGAACUUUCACUAAUGUAUCUGGGUGCCAUAAUUCUGAAUAAAUCAGCACUGGAUUAUAUUUCGUCAUAAAUAAGGCACAAAUGAUGCAUAUGACAUCUCCUUUUCACCCGAUCACUGUCACCAGAAAACAUUUUGUAGUCACCACUUACCCAGCUCCACCUUCAGCCAGGCACCUGUCCCAAAGGUGAGUUUGUUGUUUCUCACAGUCAGUUCCAUAGUGUCUGAUGCCUCACAAUCAAUUGUUACUUCACCUCUUCCUGAUUUACCCUAAUGAGUUGGAAAACACUCAAGAUUUCAUAUAGCUAUAUAAGUUAUUUAUAGGAGGAAAAGUACCCCUCCUCAUUCAUAGGCUGCUGGUGCUGGGCGGGGGGAUGGGGGUGGGGGCAGAGAGGUCAUGCAUACCUGCUUGCCUGUUUACAGGAGAGAAAACUGAGGCCCAGAGGCCAGAGAUCUGUCCUAAGUUCCACUGCUAGUUGUUGCAGAGACCAAACACGGGUCUAUUUGAUUCCUAAUCUAGAGGUUUUCCCCUCUCCACCACAUCCUGGAUGUAAUGUGUCAAUUACUUUAUUUCUUCUUCUGUUGGCCUAGAAAUUUGAUUUCCUUGGGUGCCUGAUUUCCAUUAAACAAGCAUUUAUGAAGCACUUACUUUGUAAAAGGACCAUAUUAGAUGCUUCCUGGGGUAUAACAAGAGUCUCUGCUCUCAAGGAUCUUUUAGUUUUAAUAGGAAGAUCUCAGUAAUCAAAGAUUUCCCAUAGCUUAGAAGCUGUCACAGAUUGUCUGUCACAGAUUGUCCAGGAUUCUACAGCUCAAUUUGGGGUACGGAGGCUAAGAGGAAUGGGAGGGAUGCCUGGGGAGAAACCAUAUCCAAGCUUCGAACAGGAAGCCAGGCUAUUUCCAAAGAUACUUUUUCAUUUUGUCUUAUGUCUAGGGUAUUAGUCUCUGCUCCUUUCUGACCUAGUGGAUUGGUUCUACUGUUAUUUCCAAAUCUGCUGUCGCCUAUUUUCAUUUUUUGGGCAUAUUUUAAUUUUUAAAUGUUCCCCACGAAGGCUUGAUCUUAAAUUCAUAGAUUGAUAAAACAAGGAAGAUGCACCAUAAGGGUAAAACACAUGUAAAUACAUGUAGAAGCCUUAAAUAAGGGCAGAAUGGGGUCAACAUUUACCUGGAGAGACUAGAAGCAUGGUGCCCUCUCCAAAGGUCAACCUUCUGUAUCCUACCUCUGCACCAGAACAAACACCCAUACAAAAAUGGCCUAUAGAGUUGGGCUUUGUAACCUCUGAUCUAGAGAAGAGGAAGAAAACCAUCAUUUAUGGAGAACCUAUUAUAUGCCAAGCAGGUUAACAACCUACAUAUGUCACAUUAUCUCAUUCAGGCCACAACUGUGCCAUGGGCUUAAAUAUUACUAUUCUUAUUUUACGAAUAAAGAACAGGUGAUCUGAGGCUGAGCUGGUUGAACCAGCACUACUACAAAAGACAGAAAUAGCCCGGAUGCAUGAGAUGUUUUAGCACAGGACAGGUAAAUCUUAGAGGAGCUACAAGAGAAAAAUCUUCUUUCUUGUCCCUUUUAGAGUGAGAUUACAGCUGCAUUGGGAUUGAUUCUCCUGCUAGAACCAGAUGUCAGAACUUUAGUAACAGUGAUCCCGAAAAACUCCAGCUCACCUUCUACAACACAAUCAUUUCUUGAGACACAAAGACAUUUUAUCCUCAGUCUUUCCAUUAUUGCUCUGAUAUGCUACUCACCGGGCCCGACCAGCAGUUGAGUCCCACUCCCAAAGAUCCAUCUAUAGCCUGUGUCCUUCCCACAGUGUUUCUUAGUCAGCCAAAAACACUCACAAUCCACACACCCUUCUGAUACCCGAGACCAAGAGGCAGGACCCUUUCAUCUACAAAGAGGGCUCCAUCCUCCCUUUCUUUUUAUCUUUCACAUAACAGGCCAUUUGACUCAAAUUUAGGCAUUUAUUAUGCAACACUUAAAAUGAAGUCUCUAUCCAUCACAUAUCUGGGCCUAUCACUGUCAAACUCAUGAUUUUCAACUCUAUUUAUCCAACAGAUAAAUCUAGUCCUUCUAUUGUCUCCAUUACAGUUAUCAAUUUUUAGAUUCCUGCUAUAGUGUCUCUCCUAAUUUUAACUUUAAUCAAUCUGAAACUUCAUGGACUAGCAUCCAGAUCAUUAUGAAUGACAGCUUCCUGUUCCCUCCAGUCAUCUUGUUUUGUGGGCAAGCCUUGUUACUUACUCAAGUCCUGUUCUGCUCUCAGAGCCGGGUGUCCCUCUGAUAAAAGGACACCCUGUCUGUUUCAGGUCUGGUAAGAAAUACCACUUGUCUUCUCUUUAGUUCUUAUCCUUUGCAUACCUACUGUUUUCCACUGGCCUCAGGAGUAAUAUCUUGGCUUUCUCUUCUAUUGAGAAAGAACUCAACUCAGAUGCAACACUAUUAUCAGAAUGUUAAAGGACAACCAUGGUAUCCUCUAUCUUUGUAUUUAUUCUGAAAACAGCCAGAAAAGGCUCAUCAUAUGCUCUGAAUGUUACAAUUGGAAAGGAGAUGACAUAAGGAAGGAGAAAUGCUUGGGAAUUUAGACUUACUUGAGGUGACUUGGAGCUGUGUUCCAGUUCCAAAGGUAAACUUUUGGUUACCCCCAGAAUUCACUGUAAUUCAGGCCUUUACAAAAUCACUUCCUUUCUCCUGCCAUUUACAUUUGGGUAACAUUUGAGUCACUGUACUUCAGUAGAAGAGAGAGUUGUUUUUACCAAUGCCCAUGGCUAUAGAUCACAUGAAAAUGGCGAUUGUACCAAGAACUACAUAUGUAUCCUACAUAUAAUUCCUUGAACGAAUUAUGCUAGCUGAGCUAGCCGUUUCUUUUUGUUCUAAAAACAAAUAGUAUUUUAUACAUGUAUAGCUUUUAAUAUUUAUAGAAUACUUUCAAAUGCAUUAACUUAUUUUAGUUAUAAAAUUACUUAUGCGGUGAUGUUAAAUAUUUUCAUUGUACAGAUGAAGAAAAUGUGGCCUAGGUGUACUAAUCAAACUAGGUGUAGAAGAAUUGACUCAGCCAAACUUUCUGCCUUUUUUUUUUUUAAUUUUUUUUUUAAUUUUUAUUUAUUUGUGAUAGUCACAGAGAGAGAGAGAGAAUGAGGCAGAGACACAGGCAGAGGGAGAAGCAGGCUCCAUGCACUGGGAGCCCGACGUGGGAUUCGAUCCCGGGUCUCCAGGAUCGCGCCCUGGGCCAAAGGCAGGCGCCAGACCGCUGCGCCACCCAGGGAUCCCCAACUUUCUGCCUUUUUCUUUAGUAUCAAGCCUCUGACUGGGCUGUUUCAGUCUGCUAUUUUUGGUUCAUCUAGGUGACUAUUUUUCUCCACAGCUAGAUAUUUCUAUCCUCUGUGUCAUUAUUUUAACAUUUCUUUCUACAUAAGAAUGCACUUAAGUCUGCAUAAACCAUUAAUUUCUUGACACUUGGGCCCUACAAAUAGUGCAAUACGUUCAAUGGGCCUCAGUAGCCACAUUAAGCUUCCAACUUUAUUUUAUUUUAUUUAUUUAUUUAUUUAUUUAUUUAUUUAUUUAUUUA
rnacentral:lncRNA from 1 species